rnacentral:rRNA from 1 species
AGUGGGGAAUUUUGGACAAUGGGCGCAAGCCUGAUCCAGCCAUUCCGCGUGAGUGAAGAAGGCCUUCGGGUUGUAAAGCUCUUUCGCAAGGAAAGAAAACUUAUCUCCUAAUACGGGGUGAGGUUGACGGUACCUUGAUAAGAAGCACCGGCUAACUACGUGCCAGCAGCCGCGGUAAUACGUAGGGUGCGAGCGUUAAUCGGAAUUACUGGGCGUAAAGCGUGCGCAGGCGGUUUUGUAAGUCAGAUGUGAAAUCCCCGGGCUCAACCUGGGAACUGCGUUUGAAACUACAAGGCUAGAGUGUAGAAGAGGGGGGUAGAAUUCCACGUGUAGCAGUGAAAUGCGUAGAGAUGUGGAGGAAUACCGAUGGCGAAGGCAGCCCCCUGGGCUAACACUGACGCUCAUGCACGAAAGCGUGGGGAGCAAACAGGAUUAGAUACCCUGGUAGUCCACGCCCUAAACGAUGUCUACUAGUUGUUGGGAGAGUAAAAUCUCUUAGUAACGCAGCUAACGCGUGAAGUAGACCGCCUGGGGAGUACGGUCGCAAGAUUAAA